UCCUCCGUCGGACUUCGCUCAUGGAGUGU
rnacentral:sRNA from 1 species